rnacentral:lncRNA from 1 species
CGCGUCUUCCUCUUCCAACUCCUCUUCCCGUCUCAUUCCGUCAAUUCCGAAACCGCCGCAAGAUAGGUUACCGAUUUCUUCGUCGUUUUCCAAGCACCACCACCAUCCGCAGCCGGCGCCCGUCAACGUCCCGGUUCUCUCGAAGGCGAUGAGGAGGAGGGACAGAGAGAUCGACGAGAUUGAUGAAGACGAGGAUGAAGACGACGGCGAGAUGCUCCCUCCUCACGAGAUCGUGGCUAGGUCUCAGACGCCGGAAGGUUCCUUCUUCCUGGUGGGAGGGGGUGGGGUGGAGGCGGCGUGCUGGAAGGCGUCGGGAGGACGCUAAAAGGGAGGGAUCUGAGACAGGUAAGGAAUGCCGUGUGGCGGAAAACUGGGUUCCUAGAUUGAUUGAUUUGAGAUUCAUCAAAUGAGAUGCUUUUAUUUUCUUAGGGAUUUCAUAUUGUUAUCUGUGUUCAAGCUCACUCCUUUGUGGAAUAGUUAAGUGUAUUGGUUUGGUAAGUAAGGAUUUUGGUUAGAUUUGAAACUGUGUAUAUGUUCAUUCUGAAUGAAAUUGGUUCUCUAAACUGGUUUCUUCUGUGUUCUUCAAGUUUCCCCUAAGCAGUGUAAUUUGUGAGUGAGGAAAUGCGCUUCCAGUUUUGAAUUUGACGUCAACAUAGCGAGUAGCCAUCCCUGUACUGAAGUGCGAGUUUGUGCUAACAAGAAGUUGAUUAGCAUCCUUUCUUUCUUCUCUUUCCAUUGAAUCCGACAAUAACAAUAACGAGUAGGAGUGUUCUGCCCUGUGCAUUAUGGUUCUUCUUGGAUAACUAGGGAACCUGCAACUCUAAAGAUGCUAUCUUUGUAGUGAAUUCAUUCAAAAGAGUUGUUGAUACAGAUCUGUGAGCUGGUGUCUUUGUAUUUGGCUAUAUAAGCCUAUCCUCAACUUUGAAAAAGAACAGGGGAAGUUGAAAUGCCCCCAUGUUGCAGGAGGUGAUGAAUGAAGUUCCUUCACUAUUAAGAUAGCACCAUAGCUUCAUUGGUCCGAUUCACCACCAAAUGCCUGUGGUGAUCGAGGGGUGGAAAUCCAUGAACUUUGAUUCUGAGUUUGUGCGGUGGAAAAGGUUUUUGUUGCAUGCCUUCUGUUGGAACAUUUGGCUUGAGCGCAAUAGUAGGGUUUUCAGAGAUGAGGAUAGAUCGAGUGAUUUUGUUGCUCGUAAGAUUGUUUUUGCUGUUAUUUCAUGGUGUAAGGUUGCUGGGGAUGUGUCGAACUCGCAGCUGAGCAGAUGGAUUUCGAGGUGUGCCUUUAACCGUGAGCCUGAUUAGAGAGAGGGCCGUUGGUGGCAGCGUCAUGUAGCUGUAGUGUUGCUGCUGUUUUUGGCCCUCUGUUUUCCUUUAGCUUUUGGCUUCUGGAAUGUCCAGAUUUCGCCUUUUUUGGCUGCUUUGUUUGAACAUUUGCUGUACACAUUGUACAUGCUUGUUUAUAUGUGAGUAAAUAUCAUUUAUAUACAAAAAAAAGAUAGCACCAUAGCUUGUUACGCUGCAGCAGCAAGCUAGGUGGUUUGGUUUCUCAGAGUUCUUAUAUCUUGUCUAUUGUAUAGGUGUACAAAAUUUCUUAAAACCAGAAAAGAAAAC